rnacentral:rRNA from 1 species
UACAGAGGUCCCAAGCGUUGUUCGGAUUCAUUGGGCGUAAAGGGUGCGUAGGUGGCGUCGUAAGUCGGGUGUGAAAUCUCGGGGCUUAACUCCGAAACUGCAUUCGAUACUGCGGUGCUUGAGGACUGGAGAGGAGACUGGAAUUUACGGUGUAGCAGUGAAAUGCGUAGAUAUCGUAAGGAAGACCAGUGGCGAAGGCGGCUCACUGGACUGGUACUGACGCUGAUGCGCGAAAGCGUGGGGAGCAAACAGG